UACGAGGGGGGGCGAGCGUUUGUUCGGAAUUAUUGGGCGUAAAGGGUGCGUAGGCGGUUCCGCAAGUCCUGUGUGAAAUCUUCGGGCUCAACUCGAAGUCUGCACGGGAAACUGCGGGGCUUGAGUGUGGGAGAGGUGAGUGGAAUUCCCGGUGUAGCGGUGAAAUGCGUAGAUAUCGGGGAGGAACACCUGUGGCGAAAGCGGCUCACUGGACCAUAACUGACGCUGAUGCACGAAAGCUGGGGGGAGCAAACAGG
rnacentral:rRNA from 1 species